UACGAAGGGGGCUAGCGUUGUUCGGAAUUACUGGGCGUAAAGGGCGCGCAGGCGGUCUUGGAAGUCAGAUGUGAAAGCCCCGGGCCUCAACCUGGGAACUGCAUUUGAUACUCCGAGACUAGAGUUCGGGAGAGGAGAGUGGAAUUCCCAGUGUAGAGGUGAAAUUCGUAGAUAUUGGGAAGAACACCGGUGGCGAAGGC
rnacentral:rRNA from 1 species